rnacentral:sRNA from 1 species
UAGGCGUAAAUUGUGCGGUGGUAAGCCA